rnacentral:tRNA from 1 species
GAGGGUACAGCUCAUUGGUAGAGCAUGUGCUUAGCAUGCACAAGGUCCUGGGCUCAAUCCCCAGUACCUCCA